rnacentral:rRNA from 1 species
GAUGAACACUGGCGGCGUGCCUAAUACAUGCAAGUAGAACGCUGAAGGAAGGAGCUUGCUCUUUCCGGAUGAGUUGCGAACGGGUGAGUAACGCGUAGGUAACCUGCCUGGUAGCGGGGGAUAACUAUUGGAAACGAUAGCUAAUACCGCAUAACAGUAGAUGUUGCAUGAUAUCUACUUAAAAGGUGCAAUUGCACCACUACCAGAUGGACCUGCGUUGUAUUAGCUAGUUGGCGAGGUAACGGCUCACCAAGGCGACGAUACAUAGCCGACCUGAGAGGGUGGUCGGCCACACUGGGACUGAGACACGGCCCAGACUCCUACGGGAGGCAGCAGUAGGGAAUCUUCGGCAAUGGACGGAAGUCUGACCGAGCAACGCCGCGUGAGUGAAGAAGGUUGUCGGAUCGUAAAGCUCUGUUGUAAGAGAAGAACGAGUGUGAGAGUGGAAAGUUCACACUGUGACGGUAUCUUACCAGAAAGGGACGGCUAACUACGUG